CAGUUCUGCUUCUCUUUUUAUAAGAAUGACCAGUUCAAUAUAUCACUUCAUGAAACAUAGACUCUUUUUAAUUGUGCAGAAUUCUAAUAUGAACGCCGCUUUGGACUGGAAGUGUGAGCGGAAACCUUUGCCAUCUUCAUACACUGGUUAUUUGAGAGGGGCAUCACUUCUAGACUUCAAAGGCUGCAAUGUUUCCCUUCAUCAAGAAAACAUUUUCUUGCAGGCCUGUUCCCUGGAUACACGGAUGGUUCCUGGAUCUGUACAUAUUGUGCCUCACUUUCAAGUGGUAACUGAGAAUCCAUUUGCUUGGUGAUUUUAACUCCCUAUAUCUGAAUAAAUCUCUGUGUACAUGACAUGCUUUA